CAAAAUGGAUAUAUGUAUGACCGGAGAAUAGGUAGAAGUGCGGCGCCUUUCUGUCGCGCCACCCCAUAAAAUGACGGGGUCAUUAAAUGGCGUGGCGCCAUUUUUCUGAGAAA
ensembl:ncRNA C32D5.19 ncRNA